rnacentral:lncRNA from 1 species
GAUGGUCGGGUGAUUUUUUCUCCUUCGGAUCAGGUCGCUUUUUAUGUUGAAAACCUUCGGACAGGAUUUCGAUUUUCGAUUUCGGAGUUCAUUCGAAACAUUCUUGAUUAUUAUCGACUCUAUUCGGCCCAACUUGCACCGAAUUUCAUUCGACUUCUCAUUACUUUUACUUUAUUGUAUCGUAUGAUCCCGAUCGAACCUAGACC